UGGCCAGAGGACUCAUUAGCUGAUUCCGCAGCUGGAGUUCAGUGGUGCAAUCUCAGCUCACUGCAACCUCUGCCUCCCAGGUUCAAGUAAUUCUCCUGCCUCAGCCUCCCGAGUAGCUGGGAUUACAGGUUGUUGGCUAUUUAAACUACUCCUUAUAGGAGCAUGUUCUUUGGAAAGUUCAGGAUGAAACUUUAGGAAAGAAGAACAAGCCAUUGCAUCAUGUACUAUGCCUUCAUGCCAGAGGAAGGAAGCAAACACAGCUCUGGCACAUUCGGCCACAGAAGGAGACAUGGCUUGCUUGGCUGGCUCUAAAGGCUUGGAUCCAUCUCCUUUGAAAAGAAAACUCGAUUUUUCUUUUUUGGGCCUGGUGUGUCUAUUAGCACAUUUUCGACUUAUUUUGGGAGAUGCUCUCAUUUCCUGUUCAUCUUUCAGUGGUGCUUUUCCAAUGCUAAAAUGAACUUUAUUUGAACCUUCAUCCACACUCUUAAAUUCACUGCUGUCAUCGCAGGUGCUGUCUGUUAGACUAUUUGUUUUUAAAGUACUUGAGGUGCAGACUUCGACCACCUCACUGUGGAGGUUUUCCUGUACCACAUGGGGAGAGGGAGCUCUAUUUUCAGAUCCAGGGGAAUCUGUAG
rnacentral:lncRNA from 10 species